GAACGGCAGUUGCCCUAAGGAUUUAUAAUUUAGGACUAAUACAAAGGUCAAUGGAUUUGUUAAAAGCGAUAAAACGACCUACUGUGCGUAAAGAACGUUCUUCAGAUGAAGACGUUAUUAGUAUAAAAUUUGGACUAAACUACUUUUAUUUUUGAUGCUUGGAUUGGGACUUUUCAUUUGCAAUGUAGCUUGUCAGCAUAAUUGUAAUUGAAAGUUUUUAUUUGUAAUUGUAUAUUGAGUUCCUGUGGCUAUCGUGUCUGUCAAAUUUGUAUUAACUUACAAAUAAUGAUGUUUUUUUUAAUGAACAAUAUAUGAAAUCACAAUUAUUUAAAGAAUGAAGUUAUUGAUAAAUUGUUUCUAUUAAAUUAACAACUUUGUCAUUAUGUAAAA